UCCUCUUUACAGAGGCAGUUUGUCUCGAGUGCCCGGCAUGAUCCGCUGGUAACAAGACAUGAGGGUUGCGCUCGUUGCGGGACUUAACCCAACAUUUCACAACACGAGCUGACGACAGCCAUGCACCACCUGUGUAGCACCCUCGAAGGCGACGCCGUUUCGGGCGCUUGCAGCUACAUGUCAAGCCCUGGUAAGGUUCUUCGCGUUGCAUCGAAUUAAGCCACAUGCUCCACCGCUUGUGCGGGCCCCCGCCAAUUCCUUUGAGUUUCGGUCUUGCGACCGUACUCCCCAGGCGGAGUGUUUCACGCGUUAGCUGGGCCCCUGAUCCACGUAGACCAAGGGCGAACACUCAUCGUUUACGGCGUGGACUAC
rnacentral:misc_RNA from 1 species